rnacentral:rRNA from 1 species
AUUGACCGCUGGCGGCAGGCCUAACACAUGCAAGUCGAACGUGUGGCGGACGGGUGAGUAAUGUCUGGGUAACUGCCUGAUGGAGGGGGAUAACUACUGGAAACGGUAGCUAAUACCGCAUAUCAUCAGAUGCGCCCUGAUGGGAUUAGCUUGUUGGUGGUGUAAAGGCUCUCCAAGGCGACGCUCCCUAGCUGGUCUGAGAGGAUGACGAACAACACUGGAACUGAGACACGGUCCAGACUCCUACGGGGGGCAGCAGUGGGGAGUAUUGCACGAUGGGGGCAAGACUGAUGCAGCCAUAACGCGUGUAUGGAGAAGGCCUGCGGAUUGUAGAGUAAGUACAGCGGAGAGGCGGUACCAGCAGAAGAAGCACCGGCUAACUCCGUGCCAGAAGCAGCAGUAAUAC